rnacentral:rRNA from 1 species
ACACUGACGUCGCGACGCAUAUCAAUAAGCGGAGGAAAAGAAACUAACAAGGAUUCCCUUAGUAACGGCGAGUGAAGCGGGAAGAGCUCAAAUUUGAAAUCUUCAAGGUUCUACCUUGACGAAUUGUAGUUUAUAGAAGUGUUUUCUGUUAGUAGAGUGGCAAAAGUUCUUUGGAAUAGGACAUCAUAGAGGGUGAGAAUCCCGUAUUUGGUCAUUCUUUCUAGCUUUGUGAUACACUUUCAACGAGUCGGAUUGUUUGGGAAUGCAGUCCAAAAUGGGUGGUAAAUUUCAUCUAAAGCUAAAUAUUGGCGAGAGACCGAUAGCGAACAAGUACCGUGAGGGAAAGAUGAAAAGAACUUUGAAAAGAGAGUUAAACAGUACGUGAAAUUGUCAAAAGGGAAGCGUUUGACACCAGUGUUGUUUUUCCGAAAAUCAAUUACGAAUGUUUUGUUUUUGAGGAGUUAUGACUUCAUCGGCUUGCUUCUCUCUUUACGAAACUUUCUUAAUGCACUUUUCGGUUAACAAGUCAACAUCAAUCUCUUUUGUUGUAAAAGGGUCAUUGAGGAAGGUGGCUUUCCUUUCGGAGGAAGUGUUUAUAGCCUUUGAUGCCUCUGCAAUCGGAGAGAUUGAGGUCUGCAGCGUAGAUCCUUCGGGGUUAGAUACACUUUGUGCUAAGUUAUAGCUUUUCAUAGACAACAUUGUUGACUUAUGAUUAAGUCAUUGUAGCUUACUCGCUUAUGCUAUUUUACCUACGCUUAGGAUGUUGACGCGCGUGUGUGCGUG